rnacentral:rRNA from 1 species
AUUGAACGCUAGCGGGAUGCCUUACACAUGCAAGUCGAACGGAGUGGCGAACUGGUGAGUAAUGUAUCGGAACGUGCCCAGUAGCGGGGGAUAACUACGCGAAAGCGUAGAUAAUACCGCAUACUCUUGGAGAGGACGAUAUCGGAUUAGCUAGUUGGUGGGGUAACGGGUCACCAAGGAGACGGUCCGUAGCUGGUUUGAGAGGACGACCAUCCACACUGGUACUGAGACACGGCCCAGACUCCUACGGGAGGCAGCAGUGGGGAAUUUUGGACAAUGGGGGAAACCCUGAUCCAGCCAUCCCGCGUGUGCGAUGAAGGCCUUCGGGUUGUAAAGCACUUUUGGCAGGAAAGCGGUACCUGCAGAAUAAGCACCGGCUAACUACGUGCCAGCCGCCGCGGUAAUAC